GACGAACGCUGGCGGCGUGCUUAACACAUGCAAGUCGAACGGAAAGGCCCUGCUUUUGUGGGGUGCUCGAGUGGCGAACGGGUGAGUAACACGUGAGUAACCUGCCCUUGACUUUGGGAUAACUUCAGGAAACUGGGGCUAAUACCGGAUAGGAGCUCCUGCUGCAUGGUGGGGGUUGGAAAGUUUCGGCGGUUGGGGAUGGACUCGCGGCUUAUCAGCUUGUUGGUGGGGUAGUGGCUUACCAAGGCUUUGACGGGUAGCCGGCCUGAGAGGGUGACCGGCCAAAUGGGGAAUGGGAUACGGCCCAGACCCCUAGGGGAGGCAGGAGGGGGGAAUAUUGCAAAAGGGGGGGAAGCCUGAUGCAGAAACGCCGGGGGGGGGAUGACGGCCUUGGGGUUGUAAACCGCUUUCGCCUGGGACGAAGCGGGAGUGAAGGUAAUGGGAAAAGAAGCACCGGAAAACUACGU
rnacentral:rRNA from 1 species